AACGCACAUUGCGCCUGCCAGUAAUCUGGCAGGCAUGCCUGUCCGAGCGUCAUUUCAACCCUCAAGCCCUGGCUGCUUGGUGUUGGGCCGCUGCCGCACUGCGGCAGCCCCCGAAAAACAGUGGCGGGCUCGCCUGGAACCCGAGCGCAGUAAUCUGUUCUCGCUCAGGGCCUCCGGCGGGGUCCCAGCCGUAAAACACGCUGUAUGCACUUCAAGGUUGACCUCGGAUCAGGUAGGAAUACCCGCUGAACUUAA
rnacentral:misc_RNA from 1 species